rnacentral:rRNA from 1 species
AGUGAACGCUGGCGGUAGGCCUAACACAUGCAAGUCGAACGGCAGCACAGUAAGAGCUUGCUCUUACGGGUGGCGAGUGGCGGACGGGUGAGGAAUAAAUCGGAAUCUACUUUUUCGUGGGGGAUAACGUAGGGAAACUUACGCUAAUACCGCAUACGACCUACGGGUGAAAGCAGGGGAUCUUCGGACCUUGCGCGAUUGAAUGAGCCGAUGUCGGAUUGGCUAGUUGGCGGGGUAAAGGCCCACCAAGGCGACGAUCCGUAGCUGGUCUGAGAGGAUGAUCAGCCACACUGGAACUGAGACACGGUCCAGACUCCUACGGGAGGCAGCAGUGGGGAAUAUUGGACAAUGGGCGCAAGCCUGAUCCAGCCAUACCGCGUGGGUGAAGAAGGCCUUCGGGUUGUAAAGCCCUUUUGUUGGGAAAGAAAAGCAGCAGGUUAAUACCCCGCUGUUCUGACGGUACCCAAAGAAUAAGCACCGGCUAACUUCGUG